GCUCAGAUUGAACGCUGGCGGCAGGCCUAACACAUGCAAGUCGAACGGUAACAGGAAGAAGCUUGCUUCUUUGCUGACGAGUGGCGGACGGGUGAGUAAUGUCUGGGAAACUGCCUGAUGGAGGGGGAUAACUACUGGAAACGGUAGCUAAUACCGCAUAACGUCGCAAGACCAAAGAGGGGGACCUUCGGGCCUCUUGCCAUCGGAUGUGCCCAGAUGGGAUUAGCUAGUAGGUGGGGUAAAGGCUCACCUAGGCGACGAUCCCUAGCUGGUCUGAGAGGAUGACCAGCCACACUGGAACUGAGACACGGUCCAGACUCCUACGGGAGGCAGCAGUGGGGAAUAUUGCACAAUGGGCGCAAGCCUGAUGCAGCCAUGCCGCGUGUAUGAAGAAGGCCUUCGGGUUGUAAAGUACUUUCAGCGGGGAGGAAGGGAGUAAAGUUAAUACCUUUGCUCAUUGACGUUACCCGCAGAAGAAGCACCGGCUAACUCCGUGCCAGCAGCCGCGGUAAUACGGAGGGUGCAAGCGUCAAUCGGAAUUACUGGGCGUAAAGCGCACGCAGGCGGUUCGUCAAGUCACAUGUGAAAUCCCCGGGCUCAACCUGGGAACUGCAUCUGAUACUAGGAAGCUUGACUCUCGUAGAGGGGGGGUAGAAUUUCAGGUGUAGCGGUGAAAUGCGUAGAGAUCUGGAGGAAUACCGGUGGCGAAGGCGGCCCCCUGGACGAAGACUGACGCUCAGGUGCGAAAGCGUGGGGAGCAAACAGGAUUAGAUACCCUGGUAGUCCACGCCGUAAACGAUGUCGACUUGGAGGUUGUGCCCUUGAGGCGUGGCUUCCGGAGCUAACGCGUUAAGUCGACCGCCUGGGGAGUACGGCCGCAAGGUUAAAACUCAAAUGAAUUGACGGGGGCCCGCACAAGCGGUGGAGCAUGUGGUUUAAUUCGAUGCAACGCGAAGAACCUUACCUGGUCUUGACAUCCACAGAACUUUCCAGAGAUGGAUUGGUGCCUUCGGGAACUGUGAGACAGGUGCUGCAUGGCUGUCGUCAGCUCGUGUUGUGAAAUGUUGGGUUAAGUCCCGCAACGAGCGCAACCCUUAUCCUUUGUUGCCAGCGGUCCGGCCGGGAACUCAAAGGAGACUGCCAGUGAUAAACUGGAGGAAGGUGGGGAUGACGUCAAGUCAUCAUGGCCCUUACGACCAGGGCUACACACGUGCUACAAUGGCGCAUACAAAGAGAAGCGACCUCGCGAGAGCAAGCGGACCUCAUAAAGUGCGUCGUAGUCCGGAUUGGAGUCUGCAACUCGACUCCAUGAAGUCGGAAUCGCUAGUAAUCGUGGAUCAGAAUGCCACGGUGAAUACGUUCCCGGGCCUUGUACACACCGCCCGUCACACCAUGGGAGUGGGUUGCAAAAGAAGUAGGUAGCUUAACCUUCGGGAGGGCGCUUACCACUUUGUGAUUCAUAA
rnacentral:rRNA from 1 species